GUGUCAGCAGCCGCGGUAAUACGGAGGGGGCAAGCGUUGUCCGGAUUUACUGGGCGUAAAGAGCGCGUAGGUGGUCCACUAAGUCGGCUGUGAAAUCGCUGGGCCCAACCCAGCAGGGCCAGUCGAUACUGGUGGACUCGAGUCCGGGAGAGGGAAGCGGAAUUGCUGGUGUAGCGGUGGAAUGCGUAGAUAUCAGCAAGAACACCGGUGGCGAAGGCGGCUUCCUGGACCGGUACUGACGCUGAGGCGCGAAAGCUAGGGGAGCGAACGGGAUUAGAUACCCCGGUAGUCCUAGCCGUAAACGAUGGUCACUAGGUGUUGGGGGUAUCGACCCCCCCAGUGCCGCAGCUAACGCAUUAAGUGACCCGCCUGGGGAGUACGGCCGCAAGGCUGAAACUUAAAUGAAUUGACGGGG
rnacentral:rRNA from 1 species